GACGAACGUUGGCGGCGUGCUUAACACAUGCAAGUCGAACGGAAAGGCCCUGCUUUUGUGGGGUGCUCGAGUGGCGAACGGGUGAGUAACACGUGAGUAACCUGCCCUUGACUUUGGGAUAACUUCAGGAAACUGGGGCUAAUACCGGAUAGGAGCUCCUGCUGCAUGGUGGGGGUUGGAAAGUUUCGGCGGUUGGGGAUGGACUCGCGGCUUAUCAGCUUGUUGGUGGGGUAGUGGCUUACCAAGGCUUUGACGGGUAGCCGGCCUGAGAGGGUGACCGGCCACAUUGGGACUGAGAUACGGCCCAGACUCCUACGGGAGGCAGCAGUGGGGAAUAUUGCACAAUGGGCGGAAGCCUGAUGCAGCAACGCCGCGUGCGGGAUGACGGCCUUCGGGUUGUAAACCGCUUUCGCCUGUGACGAAGCGUGAGUGACGGUAAUGGGUAAAGAAGCACCGGCUAACUACGUGCCAGCAGCCGCGGUGAUACGUAGGGAGCGAGCGUUGUCCGGAUUUAUUGGGCGUAAAGGGCUCGUAGGUGGUUGAUCGCGUCGGAAGUGUAAUCUUGGGGCUUAACCCUGAGCGUGCUUUCGAUACGGGUUGACUUGAGGAAGGUAGGGGAGAAUGGAAUUCCUGGUGGAGCGGUGGAAUGCGCAGAUAUCAGGAGGAACACCAGUGGCGAAGGCGGUUCUCUGGGCCUUUCCUGACGCUGAGGAGCGAAAGCGUGGGGAGCGAACAGGCUUAGAUACCCUGGUAGUCCACGCUGUAAACGGUGGGUACUAGGUGUGGGGUCCAUUCCACGGGUUCCGUGCCGUAGCUAACGCUUUAAGUACCCCGCCUGGGGAGUACGGCCGCAAGGCUAAAACUCAAAGGAAUUGACGGGGCCCCGCACAAGCGGCGGAGCAUGCGGAUUAAUUCGAUGCAACGCGUAGAACCUUACCUGGGUUUGACAUGGCUCGGGAGUGCUCAGAGAUGGGUGUGCCUCUUUUGGGGUCGGUUCACAGGUGGUGCAUGGCUGUCGUCAGCUCGUGUCGUGAGAUGUUGGGUUAAGUCCCGCAACGAGCGCAACCCUUGUUCACUGUUGCCAGCACGUUAUGGUGGGGACUCAGUGGAGACCGCCGGGGUCAACUCGGAGGAAGGUGGGGAUGACGUCAAGUCAUCAUGCCCCUUAUGUCCAGGGCUUCACGCAUGCUACAAUGGCUGGUACAGAGAGUGGCGAGCCUGUGAGGGUGAGCGAAUCUCGGAAAGCCGGUCUCAGUUCGGAUUGGGGUCUGCAACUCGACCUCAUGAAGUCGGAGUCGCUAGUAAUCGCAGAUCAGCAACGCUGCGGUGAAUACGUUCCCGGGGCU
rnacentral:rRNA from 1 species